GGGCUCGGCAAAAAACCUCUCGGAUCCUGGAAACGCGUCCUGGGACGGAGCUGGAGCACUGCUGCUGGGGCUUUGGGUGGCUGAUGGAGCUCUCCAGGCGUGCGGAGAAAGGCUGGGGACGCUUUGUCUGGAGAUGGAGUACAAUGCAUGAAGAACAGACCGCUCUGUUCUUCAUUCCAACUGCUCUGCAGAAGCGAUGCUAUGCCCACACAGUCUUAGAAGAGUGCCCACAGGCAAGGGCUGUGUAUUCCCCAGAUCUAAAGACAUGCAGCUGAAUUGAACGGCAUCCCUGGGAACAGUGCCAACAGCAAUACCCAGAAAAGGGGAACCCUUUCCAACUCCAUCUGUACCUCUCAAAAUUCACCUGCAUAAAUGGUCGGAACUGCUCUGGAUGUUGGCCAGGACAGCUCAUCUUUUGCAACACUGAGAGGCAGUUUGCGGGCUGCCCUGGUGACCGAGCCCUAGGGAAGCCACUUGUGUCCACACCAAGGCUCACGCAAGAUGUGGUUGUUGCCAGCUCUGUCAAAUAGCUCAGGUGCACUUUAAUACAGCUGGCUAACAACUCCUAGAGAGUUUCUGCUGUGAAGAGCCAGGAUGGGCUAAAGCCCCCAGGUCACAGCUAUACACAGGUCUCCAACUUGUACCUCUGUGCUGCUGUAGGCACCACCAGCCUGAAGGCAAUAUAUUGUCCCACAGUAGUAGGACCUGGAACUGCUGAGCACGGAAACGGCAGGAUGAGCACCAACCAACACUGCCAAAUUUGCUCCUCCACAUGAUGUAAAUAGAUAUUAUUAC
rnacentral:lncRNA from 7 species